GAUGAACACUAGCGGCAGGCCUAACACAUGCAAGUCGAGGGGUAACAGGGUAGCAAUAUCGCUGACGACCGGCGCACGGGUGAGUAACGCGUAUGCAACCUUCCUUUAACUGGGGGAUAGCCCGGAGAAAUUCGGAUUAAUACCCCAUAACAUCAUGAGAAGGCAUCUUUUUAUGAUUAAAGCUCCGGCGGUUAAAGAUGGGCAUGCGUGCCAUUAGCUUGUUGGUGAGGUAACGGCUCACCAAGGCUACGAUGGUUAGGGGGUCUGAGAGGAUGAUCCCCCACACUGGUACUGAGACACGGACCAGACUCCUACGGGAGGCAGCAGUGAGGAAUAUUGGGCAAUGGGCGCAAGCCUGACCCAGCCAUGCCGCGUGAAGGAUGAAUGCCCUAUGGGUUGUAAACUUCUUUUGUACGGGACGAAACUCCUGGUCGUGACCGGGAUUGACUGUACCGUGCGAAUAAGCAUCGGCUAACUCCGUGCCAGCAGCCGCGGUAAUACGGAGGAUGCAAGCGUUAUCCGGAUUCAUUGGGUUUAAAGGGUGCGUAGGCGGAAUAAUAAGUCAGUGGUGAAAGCCUGCGGCUUAACCGUAGAAAUGCCAUUGAUACUGCUAUUCUUGAGUAUAGUUGAGGUGGGCGGAAUGUGUAAUGUAGCGGUGAAAUGCUUAGAUAUUACACAGAACACCAAUUGCGAAGGCAGCUCACUAAGCUGUUACUGACGCUGAGGCACGAAAGCGUGGGGAGCAAACAGGAUUAGAUACCCUGGUAGUCCACGCCGUAAACGAUGAUCACUCGUUGUUGGCGAUACACCGUCAGCGACUGAGCGAAAGCAAUAAGUGAUCCACCUGGGGAGUACGGCGGCAACGCUG
rnacentral:rRNA from 1 species